rnacentral:rRNA from 1 species
UACGUAGGGUGCAAGCGUUAUCCGGAAUUACUGGGCGUAAAGCGCGCGCAGGCGGAUAUUUAAGUUGGGCGUGAAAUCUCCCGGCCUAACUGGGAGGGGUCGCUCAAAACUGGGUGUCUUGAGGACUGCAGAGGUAGGUGGAAUUCCUGGUGUAGUGGUGAAAUGCGUAGAGAUCAGGAGGAACACCGGUGGCGAAGGCGGCCUACUGGGCAGUCUCUGACGCUGAGGCGCGAAAGCUCGGGGAGCGAACGGG